CUCUCUCCCUCUCUCUCUCACACUUCUUUUUCACUUUCCCUUCUUCCCUGGUUGGUCCCAUCAGCCUGCAAAUCUAGCAAACUCUUCUGGGUCAUUAUUAAAUCUUCCUCUACCAGCAACUUUCAUUUCCAUCUCUACCUCUUCUUUCUUUCUUCUUCUUUCUUCCUCUGAAGCUUUCUUUUUAUAUAUACAUAUCAUGGCUGUGUUUCUUCAAGACGUAGAAUCUUGGCUUCCUACUGAGUUUCUUUCUGAGAAAGAGCUGCUCAUGGAUAAAGAGAACUUUAACAAUAAUGGGUUGAGCUCUGAGUUCAAGCCUGCCGGAUUUAGUUUUCCUACCGAGUUCCCUUAUGAGUUUGAGCUUAAGGGCUCCUCUGCUUCUCUUAGCUCGCCAGAUGAGUCCGUUGUUGGCUCUACUGAAACAGAGAGCAUUGACGAGGACGAUUUUCUAGCUGGGUUGACUCGCCGACUCACUCAACAACUCACUGUCAAACCCGAGACGUGGGUCAUAACCGGGUCGCCCGAGUCGACACUUAGUGGAAUCGGAAGCUGGUCAUUCUCGAGCAACGGGAGCCCUAAUGGUGUUCUGUCGCCGCCAACGACGCCUUUCAGGACCAAAAAUGAUACGUGGGAUCUCAUAUACGCGGCCGCCGGGCAAGUCGCUAGGUUGAAGAUGAGCAAUGAAGGCAACAAGUACCAUAACCAUCAAGAGAGGGGGUUACUGGGUCCUGUAAGGAGCCAAAAUCCAGGCACUACCCUUAAAAAUCAGAAUCCUGGGCUCUAUUCGAGCCAGAGCUUUAGCCACUCUGUUUCACAAAUGAAUCAGUACCAUUCUCAAGUGAGACAGGAACCGCUGCUAAAGUCGCAGUGCCCUUCAGUUUGUGAAAGACAGCAAAUGAAGGCUGGAUGGCAAGCCCAGCCACAGCCCCAGCAGCACCACCACCCUCGGCCGCAGAUCCAGUCCCACUUCCAGCACCAGCAACAACAGAUACAGAUCCAGAGCAGAGGCAGGAGUGUGGUUGGCUAUGAAAAUGGGAGAUGUGUGCGUCCUAUGGGUAUUCCACAGUCUGCUUGGCCGCCUCUUCAAGUGCAAUCAAAUAAACAGCAGCACCUACACCAACACCAACACCAACACUCUCUCUUCCUCUGCUACGUUUCUCAUGCCUGCUCUGCUUCUAUUGCCAUUUCCCUUCCUUCUUUAAUCUUUAAUAUUCUUCCCAAGAAAUACACAUUCCCAUUUCGCUAUAUUUUUGUCCAUUGCCCAUGGCUAUGAUUUCUUGUAUUCUUUUCAUUUUCUUUCUGUUUCUACGCGCUUGUGCCCAGCGCAGCUCUGAGAAUCUGGCGGAGAUUCAAGCCUUGAUGUCCUUCAAGCUCAAUCUUCACGACUCACUUGGAGCUCUGAAUGGCUGGGAUUCUUCCACGCCCUCCGCUCCUUGCGACUGGCGUGGAGUUGCUUGUACUAAUAACCGUGUCACUGAGAUUCGUCUUCCUCGUCUCCAGUUAGCUGGUCGACUCAGUGAACAAUUAGCCAACCUACACAUGCUGCGCAAGUUGAGCCUCAGGUCCAACUCCUUAAAUGGAACUAUCCCUUCUUCUCUCUCCAGAUGCACACUACUACGUGCUGUUUUCUUGCAGUACAACUCGCUCUCCGGAAAUCUCCCUCCGGAAAUCGGUAACCUCACCGAUCUUCAAGUCCUAAAUGUAGCUCAAAACCAUCUUUCCGGUGAAAUAUCUCCCAAUCUCCCUCCAAACCUUGCGUAUCUGGAUCUUUCAUCUAACACUUUCUCUGGUUCAAUCCCACCCACCAUUGCUAGUCUCUCCCAGCUUCAACUAAUCAAUCUUUCAUACAAUGAGUUGUCUGGUUCGAUUCCGGUGAGCUUUGGUGAGCUUCAAUAUCUCCAGUAUCUCUGGCUGGAUUACAAUCUUUUACAAGGGACUAUACCAUCAGCCAUUGCUAAUUGUUCUUCGCUUGUGCAUUUGAGCGCCAAUGGUAACUCACUUAGAGGUGUGAUCCCGGCGGCCAUAGGAGCACUUCCUAAGCUACAAGUCGUUUCUCUUUCACAAAAUAACCUCUCUGGUUCAGUUCCAUCGUCCAUGUUCUGCAAUAUAUCGGUUUAUCCGCCGUCGCUGCGGAUCUUGCAGCUCGGGUUCAAUGCAUUUACAGAAGUUGUCGGGCCUGAUUCAGGGGACUGCUUUAGUGUUUUGCAGGUUUUGGAUCUUCAAAGGAAUAAAAUACGCGGCUUGUUUCCUUUAUGGUUAACAAAGGUGGCUACUUUGACAUCGUUGGACUUUUCAGGGAAUUUAUUUUCCGGUGUGAUUCCUCCGGAGAUUGGAAAUAUGUUGAGAUUGGAACAGUUCAAGAUGGCUGACAAUUCUUUCAGAGGCGUUAUACCGGCGGAGAUAACACAAUGUAGGUCAUUGCGUGUUCUUGAUCUUGAAGGGAACCUCUUUUCGGGGGAAAUUCCUGCAGUCUUGGGUGAUAUAAGAGGUUUGAAAGAGUUAUCUCUAGGUGCAAAUCAGUUCUCUGGUUUAGUUCCGGAGACUUUCCGGAAUCUCACGGAACUUGAAACCUUGAGUUUACGUGAUAAUGGUUUGAAUGGAAGCUUGCCAGAGGAGCUCAUGGGGUUGAGCAAUUUAACCACAUUGGACGUUAGUCGAAACAGUUUCUACGGUGAAAUUCCAGCAAAUAUUGGGAAUUUGAGUCGGAUAAUGUCACUGAAUUUGAGUGGUAAUGCCUUUUCGGGGAAGAUUCCAGGUAGUUUGGGAGACAUGUUGAGGCUGACAACACUUGAUUUGAGCAAACAGAAACUCUCUGGCCAGUUGCCAUCAGAGCUUUCUGGCUUGCCAAAUUUACAAGUGAUUGCUUUGCAGGAGAAUGUGUUGUCUGGGGAUGUUCAUGAAGGAUUCAGUAGUUUGAUGGGUUUGCGCUACUUGAACCUCAGUUCUAAUGCCUUAUCUGGUCAAAUUCCAUCAACUUAUGGAUUUCUUCGGUCAUUGGUCGUACUUUCGCUCUCCAAUAAUCACAUCUGUGGAUUGAUACCACCCGAGCUUGGUAACUGUUCUGAUCUUGAAAUUCUUGAGUUGCAAUCAAAUUCUUUAACUGGCCACAUUCCUGCUGAUAUCUCUCGCCUCUCACAUUUGGAAGUGCUUGAUUUAAGUAGGAACAAUUUAUCAGGUGAAAUCCCGGAGGAAAUCUUCAAAUGUUCGUCCUUAACUUCAUUGUUACUAGAUACUAAUCAUCUUUCAGGCCACAUUCCAGAUUCACUGUCCAAUUUAUCCAACCUAACAUCUCUUGAUCUCUCCACUAACAACUUGAGUGGGGAGAUUCCGGCCAAUCUUACUCGAAUCACUAGCUUGGUAUACUUCAAUGUGUCAAGCAAUAACCUUGAAGGUGAGAUUCCAGUGUUGUUGGGUUCUAGAUUUAACAAUCCUUCAGCAUUUGCGGGUAAUGCAGACCUUUGUGGAAAGCCAUUGAACAGAAAAUGUGUGGAUAUAGCUGAAAGGGACAGAAGGAAAAGGCUGAUUCUUUUGAUUGUUGUGGCUGCAAGCGUGGCUUGCCUCUUGGCAUUGUGUUGCUGCUUCUACAUUUUCAGCCUCUUGAGGUGGCGCAAGAGACUAAAAGAAGGAGCAGCAGGGGAGAAGAAACGGAGCCCUGCAAGGGCUAGCUCAGCGGCGAGUGGUGGUCGAGGCAGCACGGACAAUGGAGGGCCAAAGCUUGUUAUGUUUAACAACAAGAUCACGCUUGCAGAAACAAUUGAAGCAACUAGGCAAUUCGAUGAAGAAAAUGUGCUUAGCAGAACUAGGUAUGGAUUAGUUUUCAAGGCAUGCUAUAACGAUGGAAUGGUACUUUCAAUAAGGAGACUCCCAGAUGGAUCAAUGGAUGAAAACAUGUUUAGGAAAGAAGCCGAGUUUCUAAGCAAAGUAAAGCAUCGAAACCUCACAGUUCUUCGUGGAUACUAUGCUGGGUCACCAGAUUUAAGGCUUCUUGUCUAUGACUACAUGCCCAACGGAAACCUUGCUACUCUCCUCCAAGAAGCAUCUCACCAGGAUGGCCAUGUCCUCAAUUGGCCAAUGCGUCACCUUAUAGCUCUUGGAAUCGCCCGUGGACUAGCCUUUCUACACACAUCAAACACUGUUCAUGGAGAUGUCAAGCCACAGAGUGUUCUAUUCGAUGCAGAUUUCGAAGCCCAUCUCUCAGAUUUUGGGCUAGAUCGCCUGACCUUGCCAACCCCAGCAGAACCCUCCACUUCAACAACAGUUGGCACGUUGGGCUAUGUAUCCCCAGAAGCAGUACUAACAGGAGAGCUCACAAAAGAAUCAGAUGUCUACAGCUUUGGUAUAGUUUUGCUGGAGCUACUGACGGGGAAAAGACCUGUAAUGUUCACCCAAGAUGAAGAUAUAGUGAAGUGGGUCAAGAAGCAACUGCAGAGGGGUCAAAUUACUGAACUGUUAGAGCCAGGAUUACUUGAGCUUGACCCUGAAUCAUCAGAAUGGGAAGAGUUCUUGCUGGGAGUGAAAGUUGGGUUACUUUGCACAGCACCAGACCCUCUUGAUCGACCCACCAUGUCCGAUAUUGUUUUCAUGCUCGAAGGUUGCCGCGUUGGUCCCGAUAUUCCAUCCUCGGCGGAUCCCACCUCUCAGCCCUCACCGGCAUUACAGCCCGAAACAAUUUGAGACCCGAAACCGAGACUUUUUACGGUCACGGAUCUUUGACCUUCUUUUUUUUUUUUUUUAAUUUGGGGGAUUGGGUGUAGAAAUGUUGGGGGCUGGA
rnacentral:misc_RNA from 1 species